GCGCACGCCCGCGCUCCGUCAGAGGCCGCGCCGGCGCGCCGACCGCGUGCCCGUGAGGGGGGCCGUGGGGAGCCCUGCGGCCCCGGCUGGGGUGUCCCCGACCGCAACCGGAGUAAGGGCUCCGGGGCUGGUACCUGCGACGGCACUUGUGACAGCUCCGUAAAUUUUGUCCGUGGGACCCGAGCCUUUACCGAGUCUGGGCUGGAUCCUCAUGGCUGCUGGAAGCUCUUCGCCUCUGGGUGGAAGCAAAGGAGAGCCUCGCAGACUCGAUCAACCCGUCUGUUGGGCGCCUUGCCCCUGGUUUCCUUCCCCUACUCCCUUCUUGAUUCUUAAUUUCAGCCAAAGAGAAAGUAAAGAAUCAGAAGAAAAGAUUGAGAAAAAAUAAUGAGGUCACGGAUAAACAGCACGCCAAAUCAAGGGCGUGAACUUGGAACUGACUUCCAGACAGGAUGUCAUUAUAAACUCAAAAAUCACAGCUCCCGAGUCCUCCCAUUCUGCUAGUAUUCUCAAGCUAAGAGGCUGGACUUUCACCCCGGGAUGAAGAGAGAAGCCUUAAAUAUUGUGUAAACAGGGAAAGAGAGGGAAUAAUGCAGUUCACUUUGCUGGGGCCUGGGGAGGACGGCGGGGUGGACACAGACCCUGAAUUCUGCCGAGCAAUGAAUGGAGAGCUUAUUGGAAAGUACUUCCAGAGCUUUCAAAAAGAUGCAGCAAAAUGUAAAAGUGUUUUGUAAAGUAUAAAGCAUUCUAUAAUGUAAUAUGUUGUUUCUA